GCUUCAAGGAAUGAAGCCAUGGACUGCAGCGGAUCGAGGCCAUCAAGCUACAGAUGGCCUUACAAAUGGAACCCCAAAUGAGCUCAACUAACAACUUCUACCAAGGCCCCUGGAUUGACCCACUGUCCCUUUGACUGGCCUAGAGAGUUCUCCUCUGGAGGACACUACAACUGCAGGGCCCCUUCUUUGCCCCUAUCCAGCAGGAAGUAGCUAGAUUAGUCCUCACCCCAUUCCCAACAGCAGUUGGGGUGUCCUGUCUAGAGGGUGGAUUGAGAGGUGAAGCCAGCUGGACUUCUGGGUUGGAUGGGGACUUGAAGAACUUUUCCGUCUUACAAGAGGUUUGUAAAAUGCACCAAUCAGAGCUCUGUAAAAAAGCACCUAUCAGCACUCUGUGGCUAGCUAGAGGUUUGCAAAAUGUGCCAAUCAAUGCUCUGUAAAAAUGCACCAAUCAGCACACUGUAAAAUGGACCAAUCAGCAGGACAUGGGUGGGGACAAGUAAGGGAAUAAAAGCUGGCCACCCCAGACAGCAACGGCAACCUGCUUGGGUCCCCUUCCACACUGUGGAAGCUUUGUUCUUUCACUUAUCACAAUAAAUCUUGCUGCUGCUCACUCUUUGUGUCUGUGCCACCUUUAAGAGCUGUAACAUUCACUGCAAAGGUCUGUGGCUUCAUUCUUGAAGUCAAUGAGACCAUGAACCCACCAGAAGAAACCAACUCUGGACACACUAUGAGACUUGAAAUGAGCAGAAGAGUUUAAAAUAUCUCACCUUUUUUAAAAACUUCAAAAAAGUGGCUACUAGAAAAUUAAUGAUACAUAUGUAGCUUACAUAAUUCUAUUGAACAGUGCUGGUGUAGAGGAAGAUAAAGAGACAUUGACAUCUUUUUUCAGUGACUGUACAAUAUCUCUCUAUGAUUCACUUACACAUACACAGAGCCUACAUACAAGGACACAAAGUGGCACAAAGAGGGUGACCCCAGAUCAUACCCCAGGCAAUAUAGUGGAGGUGGAAAAUAACCUUUGCCCUGGAGAUACACUGCCUAGGUUCCAAUACCAACUGCAAUGAUUAUUUUUUGGAUGGCCUUAAGUAUACUAACUCUCUGUACCUCAUUUUCCUAUCUAUAGAAUGGUAAGAAAGAGGCUAUUUAAUUUUCCAUUGAGACAAUGUUCGAUAUCAUUAUUCUCCCCUCCAUUGAGAUUUAGCUCUGUGACCACCUUCCAUUGAACCCAAACGUUUCAUUUAUGAAACACAUAAUUGCUCCCAACUGAUGCAAUCCACAAGCAUCAAUUUAAUUCCAUUUCAUGGUCUGUUAUCAUAACUCAUAAAAUAUAAUCUCUUUCCCUACUGACUUCCUUUCCGUUAAGUCUUAGGGAAAAGAGAAGUCAGAUGAAAAUGAGAUGAGUUGCUGGCCAGGAAAAGUAGAGAUGAAGUUUCUGAUUCUCUUCUCCCAAACUCUUAAUUUAAAUGAUAUUUUGAGUUGGGAGAAUUCCAAGCGGAAGCCAAGACAAAGUAUGAAGGCAGUUUGUUUUCUAAAGUUUCAUUGAGACCCAAAAGUUCAUUUUUGGUAGUAGGAGUAUCUGGUUGAAGACUGAACACUAGGCUGAAUAGACCGAUCAUGGUCCAACUUGUGGUGGCAUUUCUUUCAUUGUCAGGCUGAUGGGCUCAGGGUAGAAAGGGUCUGGUUCCUUCAAAAGCCCACACUGCCUGCUUUGCUCUAUGCUACAGGAGAAAGAAUGCUCCUGAGUCUUGACACCAACCCUGUUCUUCCAAGGCUGCCAAUUUUCUUAGAAAAUCAAAGCUCUAUCCACCCCCCAACAACAACAACAACAAAUAAGGAAAGUAGUAGGAAUGAGAAAAAGUUAUAAUCUCAUCAGAAUCUUCCUGCAGAAGUUCUUGACCUGCAGCUUGUCUGGGAUGAAGAAGGUCAGCCAGAGACCUGGAGAAUGAGCUUGGAGAGAGGAAUUCUCUUGGGGUGGUUUCAGCAAGAAGAGAGUACACUCUAUAUAGUGAAUAUGUUCGGACAAAUCCAGAUCCACUCCCUGACACCAGAGACUAAGUAAUCCACCUUGGAGACUAAAGAGACUGUUAAGAAAAAUCCCAUCAUCACUGUUAGCAACUGUGCAGCAGUUAGAAGAAUCUGGAAGAGUCUGGAAGAGAUGAGCCUGGCACUAAAUAUAUGACCAUAGGAGACGGCUGGAAACAUCCUCCUUGAGGGUAGCGGCCACCCUGUAUACAUCUCUUCAGAGCCCAGCGCUGCCUGUGCACAGUUUAUUUUAGUCUGAAAGAUCUGGAAAUAUAGAAAACAUCUCCAUCUUUCUGCUGUUGAGUUCCCAGUGCCCCUGCAAAAUGCCAGCCUGUGACUGUCAAUAUCUGUGACUCUAUCCCUCGACCCAUAAUUCCCAGCCUCCAUCCUAGCUUCUGGGAUAGAGUUCCAUGGAUAAUUCAGCAAUUGCAGGAAAAUUUGGGCCCCCAACAGUGAACAACAGAACUCAAAAGAUGCAAAUACGAGGAUAAUGGACCACUGGAGGCUGAUCCAACACAAAAUACACAUUACCCUGUGCUACGUUCAGGAAUAGGAGGGUUCCUGUCUAGUUGCAGAAAAAGGAUAAGAGGUCAUAUCAAAACAGCACAGUCAUCUGAAAAUGGAACUUAUGUCUACAAAAGUUACAGGAAACCACAUCAAGAAGACUUUGUUUUGGUGCCCCAAGAGGAUUAACCUACUAAAUCCUACUAGCAAGUUUCUGGAGAACUCUAUAAAUUGUAGCAAAUCAAUAACCUCUGAAGUGUAACCUCUACUUGGACUGCAGCCAUUGAGAAGAUGUUCUCUAUACCUUCAAGGACAGAGGUAUCUUGGUGUCAGGAGGCAAGUUACUCCUUCAAGCACUGAUGUCUAUGUUGCUUGUGAUUCUCUGUCCUACAGCUUUGAUUGUAUAAUAUAUGCUGGGUUAAUUUUAAGUGUGUGUGUGUGUGUGUGUGUGUGUGUGUGUGUGUGUGUCUUAAUGAUUUUUGUUCUUCUAUUCUCUUUGCAUUCCAAAAAAGCAGUGAUAUGUAAAAGCAAAUCGGUGUGACACAUGAAUCUUAUUUAUAAAGCACAAGGCCCUGCCCUCACCUUGGUGAACCAGAAAAGAAUUUUCAUCUUGAAGGUGUGUCAGGUCCUAAGAAUUCCAUAAGUAUGAGUUGUUCUGGACUAAGGCAAUAAUGUAGAUAUUGAAGCGCUCAAUAUGGUUUCUUGACAUGAAUUAAAGAUAUUAACGUGCAUGAGCUUUGUGAUGGCUAAAAAUGAUUUGCCCUUACAUCUGAGUUUGUGAUUAGGGAUGGUAGAUGUUAGUAGAGACCUACUUCUAUAUAGAUUAUGUAAGUUUAUUUGAACCAGUUUACUGUCCUGACAUUAUGAAGUUCAUUCUCCAGCCAGUAAGUAAAAACAAAACAAAACAAAACAAAACACAUAAAAUUGAGGUCAAAACAAAUUUAUGGCCACUUAUUUCUUUCCUAAAUACAGUUUUUCCCUCUUAAGACAUAAAUAUUAACAAGUGUGGGAAGAAAUUCAAUGAUCAUUAAUAUUUUCAUUUGAUGGAAUCAAAGAUCCAUCCUGUAGAUAACAGUUUCACCACGAAUUUUGCAUUAGGCAUAGUACCAAGAGCUUUACUGAAUUAACUCAUUUAAUCCUCACAAUAUGAAUUUAAAGCAUGCAUGGAACAAAUGUGGACAAGUCUUUAGGAAAACUUCUCCCUUACUCUGUAUCAGAGGAGCCAAACUUGGAGAAACCUGUAAUUGUUGCCUCUGGCUAGGAAUCUAUCUCCUGAUUUCUACUUUCAAACCUCCCAUUCAUCAAAUACUGCCUCCCCCAUGAUUUUCCUACAACAUGCAAUUUAAUUUUCCUCAUUUAAAAUACAUCCCCAAAGCCAUCUCGUUUUGUUCUCCUCUGUCAUUGAUCCUAUUCUGUCAGACAGUGUGGUUCUCUGAGGAUGUGUGAUGUGCUCUUAGCAAGGACUUUGGAAUCACGAGACAUUGGUUUGAUGUUUCUGAGGCUCACUGAGUAAGUGGUACAAAAAGCAGCAUUACUUACCUCUGGGGUCUUAUGAGACCUAAUCAGAAAGCCUAGAGAUAAUACUUUGUUGACUGGGAACAUGGUUUAAAAAAAAAAAACGUAUUACUGAACACAUUGAAGCAAGUGCUGAGCUGAGUUCAUUUUUUGUGUGUUCUAGGAAACCUUAAAAGAUGCCUGGGAACUAGCCGUCUUGCUCAAUGUAUGUCAAAUAAAUAUUUUUAGGAUAGAACCAGAUACCUUCUUAAUAGAUAAACAGCUCUGAAACAUCUCAAGAGCUUGUUCCCCAAGACUCAGAGGCAGGAUAGGCAGAUCCUUAGCAGGUGCUGGGUUCUUUGAAGCAAAUGAGGCACCACAUUUUCCUUUGAUGGCUGGGAGGACACAAGACAGAGGGAGAUGCUUUCUUCAGCAAAGGAGAAAGUACUCUUUUUAAGAGGCUUCCUUAAUGUGGCAAAAUCCUUCAUCAUGAGGCCAGAAGACUCAAUGUCAGGCAUGUGAGAGGCAUGCUCUAUAUGGGGUAGAAGGACAACAUUUGGCCAAAUUUGAUUCUCAAAUGCAGGCAUGUUUGGUGCCUCUGCACCUCUGGAAGGAAGGCUGUGUUUGUGCAGUGAUGGACUAAUUUCCAUGGCAACAGAGUGUCUGGUGUCAGAAGAAUAGAAAUGAAAGCUCCAUGUGCCAACACUAUAUUUAUGUGAUGUUUAUCUCAUUGAUUCUUACAACGCAAAGAGGGCUUGAUCUCUCAGCAAGCGUGCUUUUGUCCAAAUGAUGCCAAUGCAGAAAUCAUGCCAUUUCUAUCAAUAUUUCACAUCUAAAGGUUGGGUGUACUAUUUUUGUCUUGUGAAGUUUUGAUAGUCUCAAUGGAGCCUUUAGGCUCCUUUCUACAGGUUUUGUUAGAGCUUCAUGGGGUGGCACCAGGAAUGGUGAAGGAGGCAGCUAGGGUCUGGGUUUUGGUUUCCUAAGAAUGCAGCAAUGUCACUGAGCAGCCACUUUCUGCAGGAUGAGGAGAGUGAAAAAAUGCACUCAAAGGACUGAAUGGACCCUUAACUCCUAAGGGCCAACCAGACAGAAUGUGAAUGAGCAGAGAGGCUGGUCUGAUCUAUUGUAAGCACUCUGCUCCCUCUUGCUACAAGUGUCUUCUUGAAAUUGAUACCCUCCCCUCCACCCCUAAGAAAAGCUCACCUCUCAGCCUUGAGUCCCAAUCUUUAAUGCCUUCCAAGACUUUUCUCUCUCUCUCUUUCUCUUUUUUUUUCUUUUUUCUACUAUGAUCUGUGCCCUGAAUACCUCAAACCAAAGACUUCACUCUUGGCUUCUUUCCUGACCCCAGGCUUCUCCACAAACCACAGAGUCCUAUAGUGUUGCUUCAUAGGCCCUUACCCUUUCUAACUCAUUCCUGUCUUCCCAAACCAUAGGCCUGACACAUCAUGGGAAACCCAACCACCCCUACCUUGUUCUUUACCCCAGAUACUGGGUGUCAAGCAGUCUUUCCAAAAGGAAGGUACUUUUUAUCCUGUUGGUUGGCAAGCUGCCCACAGAGAGAAUGUAGAUGAGCACUUUUAAAAGUGAAUGAGGUCGGGCGUGGUGGCUCAUGACUGUAAUCCCAGCACUAUGGGAGGCCGAGGCAGGCAGAUCAUGAGGUCAGGAGUUCGAGACCAGCCUGGCCAGCAUGGUGAAACCCUAUCUCUACUAAAAAUACAAAAAAAUUAGCCAGGCAUGGUGCCAUGUGCCUGUAGUCCCCACUACUCAGUAGGCUGAGGCAGGAGAAUUGCUUGAACCUGGCAGGUGGAGUUUGCAGUGAGUCGAGAUCGCAACACUGCACUCCAGCCUGGGCAACAGAGCGAGACUCUCUCAAAAAAAAGUAAAUAAGUAGAGAUUAAAAUGUCCCCAAGUUACUGCAGUAAUGGUUGUGCAUAUCUGUGAACAAAUAAAACCCAUUCAAUUGUACACUUUAAGUGGGUGAAUUGAAUAUAUGGGAUGUGAAUUACAUCUCAAUAAAGCAAUUUUACAAUAGAUCUUAUGUAUGACAUGGUGACUAUAGCUAAUAACAAUGUAUUGCAUAUUUAAAAUUUGCUAAGGGACUGCAAAAAAUUAUAAGUAUGUGAGGUAAUGCAUGCUGUAUCUAGAUUGAUUUAGCCAUUCCACAGUGUAUAUAUAUUUUAAAACAUUAUGUGUAGACCAUAAAUAUAUGUACUUUCAACAAAGCUAAAUUAAAAAUAAAGCUUUUUUAAAAAAGUAGGUAGACAAAUACAGCCAUCACAUAAAACUCAUGCAAUAAAAAUUUUAAAAUGAAUGUAUUUGGAGAAAAUCUGAGUGGAUUUAGAGAAGAAUGCUGUAUACACCAUAGUAUGGUGUAAGUGGUUUGGUGGUAUGUUGUAGUAUAUAAUAUGUGGAUGUGGUAUGUGAAUGUGUUCAUGGAAGUUUAUAAAAAGUUGGUAUGAUGGAAAAAGCUUUGGUAUUUCUCCUGACAAAUCACUUCUGAGCUCCUUCUUGCUGUUUGCUGCUACUGCUUGAAUGUUCAAUAAACAUUUUGGAUCACUUUAUAUCUUUAUAUGAGCCAGGCACUCUUCAAAGCAGCAAGGACACAUCAGUGAGCAAGAUGGGCAGAGUCCCCGCUCUCAAGAAGUCCAUAUUCUACGUCGGGAGGCAGACAGAAGCCAAAUCAACAAAUGAAUAAACGGCAAUCCAAGCUGGACUUCAGGA
rnacentral:lncRNA from 10 species